CAAAGCCACAGCAUUCCCCUCCCCCCCCCUCCCCCUUAAAGGGGGGCAGAGCACAAGGCUGAGGAGGGCCUAAGCCUAAGGGCGGGGAGCGGGGCGGUGGCAGGAGAGCUGAGGCACGGAGGGAGGGAGGGAGGAAAGGAGAGGGAGGGGAGGAAAAAGGUGAUGAGAAGGAGGCGGAGGGAACCGCAGAGGUGCAGGGCGAGAGCAACGCUAAGAACCAGGGUUAAGAAUCAGUGUUUAAGUAAAAACGCUUCCUUGGGGGACUUCAUCUGGUUACAGCUUUCCUUAAGGUUUUGAUGGUUUGGGGGAAAACCCUGCUUUGUUCUGAGGGGCAACUUGCGUGGCUGCAGAGGCCGUCUAGUAUUCCACACCGUUUCCAGCUCCGUCUUGCUGCUUCCAUCCCCGAUCAGCAUCACUUGGAGGAGUUGGCUGCUUUAAGCGCAGCUCGCCGGAGCUAAAGCUCUGCUCUUCCCAAGGCAGGCUCCGUGCAGCGGGGCGUCCCGCAUAGCCAUGGCAUGGCAAAGCAGAGCGGAUCCGGCUCACAGCUCUUGGGGAGAGCCCUGCCUCCAAGGGAUGCUUUUAGUGCCCUGGGUCUCCGUGCAGCUGAGCUCAGGAUUCUCGGUUGUUUGGAUUCAGGUUGUGGAUUUGUUUUGUUUGUUUUGCUUUUCUCUUCCCCUCCUCUUUUCAAGACUACUGAACUAAGAAGGAAGAAGUCCUUGGGGUGGCUUCUCUUUGCAAACAGGCACUGGAGGCUGCUUAAAGAUCUCGACUUUGCUUUUGCAGUGUACCUGAGAACUGGUUGUCAAAGCCUGCAAGGACUUGAGCUGCCUGUGGCACAUGAAGGAAGGCUAUACAAAGUUAGGCAGAGAAAACAGCUGGCCCGCUUUCAUUGUGGGAACAGGAAUGAGGAAGUUAAAUGUAAAAUUUUCCCUGAAGUGAAAGCAGAAUCCUUAUUAUGAAAUGGGUUGACUGCCAGGCUUUGCUGAAGCACUCAAAUUGCGGAGACAUGUAGAAGUGCCCUAGAUGACAGAGAUGAUGAUCCUGCCCCUAGCUGCGUGUUCAAGUCCUAAUGUCUCUUCCCUUACUUUCUGAUGCACAAAGACUUGGCAGUAGCAGCUUUUGCAGUUUCCCCGAUAUCAGCAAGCCGUUUAUCUCCUGGCAUAUCUCCAGGCAUAUUUCCUCCAUCUAGAUUAAGGAGCAUACAGCAGAAAGUCUAAGGAUUAUUCUUCUGGCAGUCUUGAAUGUUUCAAUGGACACUGCUUAAGAUCAAUGAGAAAAAGCAUCCUGCCACAUUCAGACUCUAGCUUUGAGGAAAGCAUGGCAAUAUUGAGUGAAAAUGUCAAUAGAGGACACUUUUCAAGUCACCAGAACGCUGAGGACCAGAGCUGAUGCAAAAGCUGCAAGGCGAGCCCAUGGAGAAAAUGGGAAUUUGGAGCCGAAGCUGCAGACUUCGACGAAGUCGUUACCCUACUACAAAUCCAUCCCUUCUGUUUGACAAACUUAUAACAAAGUAAGUCGUCUUUUCUUGCAAACCUACUAAAAUGAUCCUUCUUAGCAAGCCUUUGUGCUAUGGCACGAUAUUGGCCUCAACUCGCUCUUUAUUUUGACAACAGAGAGGUAUUGUCACUCCUGGCAUUGAGAGUUCAGUAUACUCGGGUGUAGGCUGAGACUUCCUUACGUGCCCCCGUGUAUGCGAUGCGUUGCUACUGGUAACUACUGGCCACCAGUGACCGUUACUGGUCAGGUAUCACAGGCUUUCGGACUGUUUGGUCCGAGCAUUCCACUGCUUAGCAGUUUUCCUAGCUGGUGAGCGUAGGCGGUGCUCUCUUCAUUGUUCUACUGACGGUCACCUCUUUCCUUGGCCUACACUGGUAUUUUAUUGCCAAGCUGUUUAACCUGACUUUUUUGGGAUUGGGUAAUCAUGGCUCGUUAAGUCUGCCUGGACUGAGAGGGUGUGGGAGAGGAUGAGCUUGGAAGAAGUUGUGUUGCCAAAAAUGGAUGAAAUGGAGAAGGUCCAUAGAUGCCAAAUCCUGAAUUUGGAAGACGUUGAGAUAUCUUUUAAGAGUGGAGGAAGUAUCUUCUGCAGAAGACGUGAGAUAACAGGGAGAUGCUGGAAUGCAUGUCUUCUAUUCCAGUUUCUGAAUUGCCUUCUGCUUUUUGAAUGGACACUGUUUACAAACAGCUGUUUUGGACUUGGGUUUUUACUCCAAAUCUUACUAAAACCUCCGACUGGGGGACUGAGUAUGCCAAAAGACUGGUGCUUUCCAUCACCUUGGCAGUUUAAGCUGUUUAUCUUUUUAUCCUUAGCUCCUAAAUCAUAUUUCUCAUCCUGCUCAGGAACACAUUUCCUUGGAAAGCUUAACAAAAGUUAGUGCAUAGCUGCCUGUGUUUGUCACUCACUCGAAUUUUGAUUCCUGUUAACAUGUUUUUUUUUCUUGAUAGCUCACAAAGAAUCUCCAGUAUCAUUGGUGAGCAAUUGGCUGACGGGCAGGGCUCAAAGGGUUGUGGUAAAUGGGGCCACUUCAGGCUGGCAGAUGGUCACCAGUGGGGUCCCCCAAGGCUCCAUUUUAGGGCCAGUCCUCUUCAUUGCUUUUGUAAAUGAUUUGGAUGUAGGACUAGAAGGUGUUUUGAGCAACUUUGCCAAUGACACUAAACUCGAAGGAGUUGUGGACUCUGUUGAGGGUGGAAAGGCCUUGCAGAGAGAUCUGGACAGAUUGGAGAGCUGGGCGAUCACCAGCCGCAUGAAGUUUAACAAGA